rnacentral:tRNA from 1 species
CGGAUGUAGCCAAGUGGCUCAAGGCAGUGGAUUGUGAUC